UGAGUGCGCGUUGAAGAGGUGCGCAACCUUAUCGGAUGUUUUAUUUAUCGAGUACUUAGUUAACAAAGACGAAAUGAGCAUUUUAGCCACUGUGCAUGGACCCUGUACUGGGCAAUUAUCUAUAGGUAGAAGUCGUAAAUUUAUGUCAACCAACAAGUAGAGGGCUAUGAAAAUUAACGCAGAAAGCCAGGGAACUUACAACAUGCCUCAUGAAGCUUUUCAUCACUGCAGGAUUCAGAAUCUCUUGCUUGACUACACCACAUUUCCGUACGGAAAAUCCAUCUUCAGCAGAGGAAUGUGUUGUGUCAAAGAGAAUAUACGGUAGUUCCACAAUAAACUAAACAAAUUUUCGAGUUGAAAACGUAAAGAGAAUCGUUAUGAUUAACAAGAAGCGCGUUUGCACCGACAACGCGCAGAGAACUAAGUUCGAAUCAUGUUUUCAUACACGGUUAAGUACUUCCAACAACCGGACUGUAAGGGUAAGAGAAGUGACGUAAGAUCAGAUGUUAGUCGGCCUCCCAUAGAACAAGCCUCUCUUGUGCCCGCCACGAAGACAACACCUGGAAUGCGGACGAUGAGGUCAUAUAGCUAUUUAAACACCAUAGAUAAAAGGUAAGGGCAUGCAUAACGAAGGGCCACCGAGAACGCCGACGUCAGCAGUCACGUGAGUUCGUUUCAACGGGUGCAGAAGAUCCCCUCUCACUCCUUUGUGAAGUAGUCGUGUUGUGUGUGUAGACGUUAUAUGUAGUAUUAUAGCACCUAGGUAGCGUUUGUCUUUGCGUACACCUGAAGUGAUAAAGCGUUCAGAAGCCUUGGCGCAAGCCACAUCGCAGUUCAGAUAGCAGCGCUGAGAAUCACAGUUGGAGAUGGCAAAAACGGUGGACGUACUUGGCGGGACUUCUUUAGAUCUGCCUGAGCAGACAGAACAUGAGCGGCUUUGUUACUAUUUACUAUUUAUAAUAUGAUCAGGAAGACUUAGCGGAGAAACCACCAUCUCUAAUGUGAUACACGCAGUGGCAUCUAAACGCUUUGUCCUAGGUGUAUACCCGUAAUGUCUUUUAAUCUUUUUUAAAUAUACGCAUACAUUGUUAUUUUGCAAGACCGCGCUUCCUCAAAACUAAAUUUUCUUGUUUUACUGGGCUGGAAAUUGUUCACUACUUGGGCGAAAGAGCCAGUGGAAAAGAAGCACGUAGAACCGUGUUUACGCUGCAAACAAGAAUGACCGGGGAACCAUUUAGUCUGUAUGCAUCUCAUACACAUAACACGGGAGAUCUUUAUAAGCUUACUCAGAGCUGCCAGUUCCUCUGACGUGCCGUAAGGAUCAUAUAGGCCAAGCUGAAAAAGAAAUAAAGAAGGAGUGUGGACACUUCUAGAACUAAGAAUGAUUUUUGAGAUUCCAUUUAGUUUAUAAAGGAAUCGAUUUGGAGAUUAAGGGCGGACGUCUCUGUAGCUAUGCCCCCCUCCCCGAGGUAUAAAUAUGUAAUGCAAAUAUGUUAUUCAUCUCUUAUUGUCAUCAAACAUUUCUUUCGUCUGCACUGUCUCCUCUCCCCCGUGUUUCCAUUUUCGCCGAAGCAUCAGAUUUACCCUUUCAUUCCAUUUUCGCCUCAUCGAUAUGCUCUCGUGAUGAGAUCCUUUGUUUGUUCCCUUGCAUACGUGUCAUCCCCCACGUAGUAUAAGCUCAGUACGCCAGGAAUUCCAUGUAGUGAUCCCUGGUUGCCUAUGUGAAUAACCUCUCCCGGCCCUGGCGUUGUGUUUGCCGGCCGGCUUUGACACGUGGGCGUGCGGAGCGUAGCUAGUAGUCGUAGUUCCAGCUCCGAUACGCGCCCACGGUGUAUGUCUGUGACUAAUCCCUUUGUGUUUCAUG
rnacentral:lncRNA from 1 species